AUGACUAGUUACGUCAAAUUGACAUACAUCCAGCCAGUGCACUUCCUGUGCCCCUUUGACCUACGUCAGCCUUUUCCAAGGGUUCCUGUGUGGUCUCUGCAAAAGAGCAUGCACAAAACAGGUGCUCACCUUCAGCUCUCCAGGACACGGAUCUGGCCCAGCACCGGGCACAAAAAAAGCCCUAGAGAUGCUCGCUGGGAGACUAAGUGGAAGCUGAGCGAGAGCUGGGCCUCGUUUCUCAAGGAAUUUGUAUGUGGAGCCUGGAGAGGGGCUCCCAGCUUGUCUGUUUCGGGUCUCAGGCUGGAGAGGGGAGGGUGUGGGUGGCUGAGAACUGCAGCAAGAAACAGCUCGCCUCUCUCAGGUCGUCGUGGCAGUUUCUGCCUCUAAUUUGUGUCUCAGGUCCUGCCCUACUUCUCAGCAUCUCGCAUGAGUGCCCGCCCACUUGACAGAUUUACCGCAACAGUCACCUGCUUGUUCAACUGCGGACGGCCAGGCCCAGGUGGUCUUCUACCUGGGCGGGGCGUGGUUCCUCUGUUUACUCUAAAUUUAAGCCUACAGCUCCAAUCCCAGUCAAUCCGCUGGUCUUGCGACUGCACAUUAAAGAGCAUGCGCAUAGCUCCUCCCAGUUAGUUCCCUCACCCAAACCUCCAACCUGUGAUCUCCAUGCCUUCCGUGGCUAAGUUUAGUUUGCUCCGGAUUAAGGGUCUUUGUCCUACCUUGCCCUGCUUUGGGAGCACAACUCCGUUCUGGCCAGGGCUGACCCUUUCCAGUUGCCCUGGUCCCUUCUCAGACUUUACUUCUUACAAAAGCCUACCCAUGAUAGGAGCCUGGUUAGCACACUUUCAUAUUCAGAAGACCGUCUUCCCUUCCACUGCUUGCCUGGAAAUGCAGAACAGCCAUCGAAAAGCCCUUCGAAAAGCUCAAAGACACCAGAACUUUGAAGAGAGGUCUUCU
rnacentral:lncRNA from 14 species